GAAGGUAAAUGAUUAAUCAAACAAAGACAGCUACAGACCCAGGACCUGCUGGCUGGAAGGGGAGAGGACAACAAACUGAUCAACCUCUUAUAAAGCCUAGUAAUCAGGGAUGAACCAGGUGUAGCCCAUCUAAUGGCCACACCCCUGCCACUCUGUCUCGCGUGAAGAACAAAAAGGGAAAAAGGCACAAGAUCCCCAGAGGAUGAAUUCUAAUGACUCUGGUAAUCCCCUGACAUUUCCUUUAGCGCCACCGUCUGUUCACAAUUCAGGCACAGACGCCGAAGCUUGGUAUGCAAAAUAAACCUAGCGAGGACACAUCUGGGAGAGAGUCAUAGUUUGGUCCAUGGAGUCCGCCUGGAAAGCACCGAUUUCAGUGAUAUUUCAGGCUGACUGUGGAGCAGUUUGAUCGGUCUGAUCACCGGAUUUGCCACAGCAGCAGGACAUUGGGUUGCGUUUCUCCAAAGGUUGCUUCUGUUUCAGCUUUUUCACCGCAGGAAGCCCCCACCACCAGGGCCUAAACACACUUCCCCCUACUCAAAUGGAUGGGAGGACUGGCGUUUUCGCUGCAGAGCCCAAUUUGGCAAAGACAAUGCCUCAGAGGUUCUCACAAUGUGCCCAUCGUCGAUGACAAAGUCUUGGAGUUGCACUUUGCAGUCGCCCAUACCUACCACAGGUUCCUGCAGACCUGCCUUGACUGUUUGAUCAUGUACACCUACACAAAAGAGAAUGACUUCCAAGCAUUGUACUUAUUUGGGAAGAACACGACACUGACAGCCUCUGACUUGGAGACCUUCAGGAAACAAGCUGCAUGCCUCAAGUUUCCCCUGCCGGCAAAGUUUCACUACGACACCAGCAAAGAGCUGUGUCCCAUGUAG
rnacentral:lncRNA from 1 species